rnacentral:tRNA from 1 species
UCUCCGUUCGUUUAACGGCAGGACACCCGACUCUGAAUCGGAAAAUCGAGGUUCGAAUCCUCGACGGAGAGCCA